AGAGUUUGAUCAUGGCUCAGGGUGAACGCUAGCGGUGCGCCUAACACAUGCAAGUCGAGCGAGAGUAUGAUGCUUGCAUUAUACAAAAGCGGCGAACGGGUGAGUAACACGUUGGUAUCUGCCCCCAAGUCAGGGAUAGCCAUUGGAAACGAUGAUUAAUACCGGAUAGUCUCUUCGGAGUAAAAAUUUAUUGCUUGGGGAGGAGCCUGCGGUCUAUCAGCUUGUUGGUGAGGUAAUAGCUCACCAAGGCUAUGACGGAUAACUGGUCUGAGAGGAUGAUCAGUCACAAUGGAACUGAGACACGGUCCAUACUCCUACGGGAGGCAGCAGUGAGGAAUCUUCCACAAUGGACGAAAGUCUGAUGGAGCGACACCGCGUGAAGGAUGAAGGCCUAACGGUUGUAAACUUCUUUUCUGAAGGAGCAUAAUGAGAGUACUUCAGGAAUAAGGGACGGCUAAAUACGUGCCAGCAGCCGCGGUAAUACGUAUGUCUCGAGCGUUACCCGGAAUCACUGGGUGUAAAGGGUUCGUAGGCUGUUUGAUAAGUUGAAUAUGAAAGACCGGGGCUCACCUCGUGUUCGUGUUCAAACUGUCAACUAGAAUCAGGGAGAGGUAAGCGGAAUCUGUGUGUAGGGGUGCAAUCGUAAUCNNGAGGACCCCAAAGCGAAGCACUUCUGGACUGAUUGCCCUAUGAACNAAGCUGGGUACGAAAGGUUAAUCCCUUGANCCCCUACAUAUCUAUGUGGCUNUCANGUACUACCGUAGUUCCCUAGAGCGCNAAUACUAGA
rnacentral:rRNA from 1 species